rnacentral:rRNA from 1 species
CCUACGGGAGGCAGCAGUGGGGAAUAUUGGGCAAUGGGCGCAAGCCUGACCCAGCAACGCCGCGUGAAGGAAGAAGGCCUUCGGGUUGUAAACCUCUGUUAAGGGGGAAGAGCAGAAGACGGUACACCUGGAAUAAGCCACGGCUAACUACGUGCAAGCAGCCGCGGUAAUACGUAGGUGGCAAGCGUUGUCCGGAGUUACUGGGUGUAAAGGGCGUGCAGCCGGAGAGACAAGUCAGAUGUGAAAUCCACGGGCUCAACCCGGGAACUGCAUUUGAAACUGUUUCCCUUGAGUGUCGGAGAGGUAAUCGGAAUUCCUUGUGUAGCGGUGAAAUGCGUAGAUAUAAGGAAGAACACCAGUGGCGAAGGCGGAUUACUGGACGAUAACUGACGGUGAGGCGCGAAAGCGUGGGGAGCAAACAGGAUUAGAUACCCGAGUAGUC